rnacentral:rRNA from 1 species
UACGGGGGGGGCAAGCGUUGUUCGGAAUUACUGGGCGUAAAGGGCUCGUAGGCGGCCCACUAAGUCGGACGUGAAAUCCCCAGGCUCAACCUGGGAACUGCGUCCGAUACUGGAUGGCUUGAAUCCGGGAGAGGGAUGCAGAAUUCCAGGUGUAGCGGUGAAAUGCGUAGAUAUCUGGAGGAAUACCGGUGGCGAAGGCGGCAUCCUGGACCGGCAUUGACGCUGAGGAGCGAAAGCUAGGGGAGCAAACGGG